UUCUUCUUUUGAAAUACUAGGAUCCAUGGUGGACUAGGCUAUGGAAGAGGAAGCAAUCAUGAGAAUCCAUCUCAUAAGAAAGAAUUUUAUGUGCAGAAGAUUUUUUGUUAUAUUAUUUAGAUCAUUAUUAAAAAAAAUCACAUGUAGAGUACAAUUCACUUAUAACCUGUCAAACACUUGAAAAAAAAAGAUAUUAGCUCAUGUUUCCUUUUCGUAUGAUGCAACAGCUUAAAAACCGAAAAUAGGUUCGCUUAACAAGGAAAGAGAAACAUGCUAGAGCAUUUGGAGAAAGAAACAUUGAAAUGGUGCAGAGAAAUCACAUGGAACAGUUCUACUGCAAUUUGUGUGCUGAAUACAGGAUUGCACUCAGUGAUGGGAAUGGCAGACUUCAAGGGCUAGGACGCCAAGAAUGAGACACUCUAAUACUAUGGAACCGAAGAAGCUACUGAAGAAUGUCUUACUUCAGGGGCUUGGAGGCGAUGCCACACUCUUAUUCUAUGUUAAGGUGUCUUGCUGCUUUUCCAUUGGGAGCAGUCCCUGUCACUGCAGAAGAAGAGCCACCACCAGAUCUUUCCUGUUGUGGCUCUGAUGGUGCUGCCAAAAAUCUGUCUGUCUGUGUGUAAGUAUCUGCUGCUGAGACUGGAACUUCUUGAAAUUUAAGCAAUUGUAAGACGUCAGUAAUGAUGCUGCAGGCUCUUUCCAUUGGGAUGAUGUUGCAGUAACAGAAUCAGGUUGAGAAUGAGUCAUCAUUUAACUCCGACCAGUUUGCUGCUGAUCUGUGUAAGAUGAUGGGAAAACACUAAGGGGUCUCCAUCCAUCGUUGUUGCUGCAGUAGGAGGCCAAGUACUAGAAAGAAAGUUGCGGUCUAUGGAUGGACUGUCAUAAAACAGCGCCGGACCAUUCAUUGAUGGGGUCCUCAGCAAGUCUUUUCGGGGUCCUCGACAUGAGCUGAACAGCUUCCAUCUCCUGUCUUUGAGUCACUUGCCUGAUGUUUUUUUUUCUGGUGACCAACGGGAGCUGUAGAUACGAACUGGUAGCCUUUGGAAGAGGAAUUCAAAUUCGCAGGGGCAGUACCAUCGGAAAAAGAGGUAAACUACAUGGAAAAGUUUUGUGGCUGCAUAGGAGUAGUCAUGAUCUGGCCAUGUAGCCCUCCUUUAUGAGUGUGCU